rnacentral:lncRNA from 1 species
GGGUACUUUCAGUCCCAGUUACUUGGGAGGCUGAGGCAUGAGAAUCGCUUGAACCCGGGAGGCAGAGGUUGCAGUGAGUGGAGAACUACACUCCAGUUUGUGUGACAGAACAAGACUGUCUCAAAAUAAAUAAAUAAAUAAAUAAAUGAAAGCAAACCUUGAUAGCAGUGGCGCCUGGUGGCUCAUGCCUUUAAAUCCCAGCGCUUUGGCGGUGGGGCGAGGUGUGAGGAUCGUUUGAGUCUAGGAGUUCAAUACCAGCCUGGGCAACACAGCAAGACACUCAUCUCUACAAAAAAAAAUUAAAAAUUAGCCAAGUGUGGUGGCGCACCUGUUGCCCUAGCUACUGGGGAGGCUGAGGUGGGAAGAAAAUUGCUUGGGUCCUGGAGUUGGAGGCUGCAGUGAGCUAUGAUUGUGCCACUGUACUCCAGCCUGGGGGACACAGCGACGCUCUGUCUCUAAAAAACACAAAGCCAACCAAAAAAUAAAACCCAGACUGCAGGCACCCCCAGAAGUAACACAUUCUGAUCUUGGCCCAGGAUGUGGCCUGGGCAUCUGUUCCUGUGGAAGGUGGCUGCAGUCUGCAGGCCAGUAGGUCUGGGAGCUGCCUUCCCCUCUCUCCUCAGGCCCCAGAGCCCAUGUGCAGCGGUGUGGUUUGGGAGCAGGUGCUGUUUGAAAAGUCCUGUGUCCGAAUUUUCAUGAUUUGUAGGUUAGCCUAAGAAUAUAGUUAGUUGAGGUUGGUGAAAAUUGACACUUCAUUACGGUUCAUGUCAGGACGUCAGAGGAAAAGGACGUGGACCGAGUGGGUCUGGAGGCCGCAUCCGGCUGAGAGCGCUGGCUGUUGCCACAGUUGGGGGUUUCCAGUUAGGCCCAGAAACUACAUUUGGGGAUGAAAGCUCCAGAUGGAAUGGAGGAAAGGCCCUUACCGGGACAUGCACCUGGGUCUGUGCUGUGUAACUGCACGUACUGAUGUGAUUUGUUGGGCACCUGCC